AAAGCGCCCUCUCUCCACAGGUGCUCCUGGCUAGCAGCCGACCCACUGCAGCUGAGCUGCUCAGAACCAUCCACCCAGCUUGGAGACAAUUUCUAGCUGCCUAGAGGUGAGUAGGCCUCGGCUUUCAGCAGAGGCUUCUUCCCCUGGCCGCUGCUGCAGUAAAGCCACAUCUAUUUUAGUGGUUGCGGCCGCAAGGCUGUAUACUCUCUAAGAUAAGCACAGCUGAUUUUGUGACCUCUCUCCACUGCUGACCAACUGCUGCCAAACGCCUCGGACUAACUGAAUGCCUGUGCUACCUGCUGGUCAAAUAUAGUUACUGCAUCUGGAGUAGAAAUCAGGAAACUAUCAGAAACAGAAGUAAUCCUAUAUACAUUACACAUAUCAGAUCCCAUACGGGUCUGCCAGGCCCCCUAGCACAAGGAGAAGAAAAACUUUGGAUACCAUCAAAGUUGAUCAAGAUUCGGGUGGAAAAGGAAAAACCUCUCGAUGAGGACAAAUGACAGGAAAACUCAUCUCCAGAAGGCAAAGGACACUGCAUGGGUAGAUACUUAAGAAGAGAAGGUAGUUAUAACCAUCAAAAAAAAGGAAUGUGCCAUAUGGUAAACUUUACAGCUGUCUCUCAGAGAACUCUAUUUCUAUUCAUUUCCUAGUCCCUAUUCAAUUAAACCAAUCCUGGAUUUAGAGGUGGAUUUGGCUUUCCUCCUCUAAAAUCCAAGCACAUUAUUUAACUAAACUUUAGUGUUUCUGUAUUGUAUCAAGAAGCCAAUUGAUGUAAUACAGAAUAAAAGAAGAAUUUGAGGACUGUCUUUGUCUUUUCUUGGAUCUUUCUCUCAAGGUGUACACCCUCUCAUAAUUGUUAUUCUC
rnacentral:lncRNA from 1 species